rnacentral:rRNA from 1 species
AACGUAGGUGGCAAGCGUUAUCCGGAUUCAUUGGGCGUAAAGCGCGUGCAGGUGGCUUCGUAAGUUGGGUGUUAAAUCUCCCGGCCUAACCGGGAGGGGUCGCUCAAUACUGCGGGGCUUGAGGGCAGAAGAGGGGGGUGGAAUUGCUGGUGUAGUGGUGAAAUGCGUAGAUAUCAGCAGGAACACCUGUGGCGAAAGCGGCCCCCUGGUCUGCUCCUGACACUCAGACGCGAAAGCUAGGGGAGUGAACGGG